UACAGAGGGUGCAAGCGUUUGUUCGGAAUUAUUGGGCGUAAAAGGGCGCGUAGGCGGUGCGGUAAGUCCGUAGUGAAAUCUCUGGGCUCAACUCAGAGUCUGCUGUGGAAACUGCCGUGCUAGAGUGUGGGAGAGGUGAGUGGAAUUCCCGGUGUAGCGGUGAAAUGCGCAGAUAUCAGGAAGAACACCCGUGGCUAAGGCGGCUCUCUAGUACGGUACUGACGCUAGACGCGAAAGCGUGGGGAGCGAACAGG
rnacentral:rRNA from 1 species